AAACUCUGACAACUUGGGACACCCUGGCAACUUGGGACAAACAUGCGCAUUUGCGGAAGUGGAGUACUCCUCACCUUGGUUUUUAGAUCAGCUGUUUCACUGGCAACUGAUUUUACGUUACAACGUAUCAGCUUUUGCAAACCGCGUUAUUUACGUUUAUACUUCGGGUGGUUUAUUGUUAAUUACCUGUUUUUGAUUCUAAUUUAAAUAGCUAAAAAAAAUACGUCAUUACAACUUUGGUUAUAUUUAGAUAACGAUUUGUGGUAUUUGUUGUUUGGGCUUUAGCCACUAUGCCUGGCUCUCAUAAUACAAAAAGGAGAAAGGUAGGAGCAAGGACUUACCGCAACUUUUCCAAUGAACAGUUGGAAAAAGCCAUA